rnacentral:rRNA from 1 species
CAGGCCUAACACAUGCAAGUCGAGCGGAGUGAUGGUGCUUGCACCAUCACUUAGCGGCGAACGGGUGAGUAAUACCUAGGAAUCUGCCCAUUAGCGGGGGACAACGUGUGGAAACGCACGCUAAUACCGCAUACGCCCUACGGGGGAAAGCAGGGGACUCUUUGAGCCUUGCACUAAUGGAUGAGCCUAGGUCAGAUUAGCUAGUUGGUGGGGUAAAGGCCUACCAAGGCGACGAUCUGUAGCGGGUCUGAGAGGAUGAUCCGCCACACUGGAACUGAGACACGGUCCAGACUCCUACGGGAGGCAGCAGUGGGGAAUAUUGGACAAUGGGCGCAAGCCUGAUCCAGCCAUGCCGCGUGUGUGAAGAAGGCCUUUUGGUUGUAAAGCACUUUAAGCGAGGAGGAGGCUACUGGUACUAAUAUUACCAGCUAGUGGACGUUACUCGCAGAAUAAGCACCGGCUAACUCUGGGCCAGCAGCCGCGGUAAU